rnacentral:lncRNA from 1 species
CGAGUUUGCCGGGAGCGCGUAUCUCGCUUGUCUGAGGCGUGCUGCUAGUAGCUCAUAGUACAUAGGUGCUGCCUUGCUCAAGCUUUGGCUUUAAUGGCCGCGACCGGCCGGUGCCCCGAUUGGCACAAGGUUGGGACGCUGGAGGCCAGCUCUCGACGCUAGGAUUGCUCUCAUAUUCAUAUUUGUAUAUUCGUUAAAGGAGGGAAAGCUCAAAGGACGCUCAAGCUGCGCGCCAGGAUUCGCGGCUGCAGUUGCAGGAGAGAGGCACAGGCACAGCUGGGCAAAGGCGCCACAGGAUAGCACGUAAUCUUACACGAUAGCUCAGAAGAUACCUGCCCCGAACGAACGGGAACACAUGUCGUGGAUUUUGCAGGGUCAUUACCGGUAGCCACAGCUGGCCACAGCGCACAGAACAAGCGCGGAUGUCUGGAUCUACCUUUUCAACGCAUAAUAUCAUGUCAAUGGUGACGUUAGAACUUGAGCGGUGGACUUUGCUGCAGUGUACCUCCACUGCACUUUAACUUUUACCGGGCGCGUCCGAUCGCCUCGGCAUAGAGCUAGAUGAUAAGCGUUGCACGCGAC